GACGAACGCUGGCGGCGUGCCUAAUACAUGCAAGUUGAGCGAUGAAGAUUGGUGCUUGCACCAAUUUGAAGAGCAGCGAACGGGUGAGUAACGCGUGGGGAAUCUGCCUUUGAGCGGGGGACAACAUUUGGAAACGAAUGCUAAUACCGCAUAACAACUUUAAACAUAAGUUUUAAGUUUGAAAGAUGCAAUUGCAUCACUCAAAGAUGAUCCCGCGUUGUAUUAGCUAGUUGGUGAGGUAAAGGCUCACCAAGGCGAGGAUACAUAGCCGACCUGAGAGGGUGAUCGGCCACAUUGGGACUGUGACACGGCCCAAACGCCUACGGGAGGCAGCAGUAGGGAAUCUUCGGCAAUGGACGAAAGUCUGACCGAGCAACGCCGCGUGAGUGAAGAAGGAUUUCGGAUCGUAAAACUCUGUUGGUAGAGAAGAACGUUGGUGAGAGUGGAAAGCUCAUCAAGUGACGGUAACUACCCAGAAAGGGACGGCCAACUACGUG
rnacentral:rRNA from 1 species